UGGGGAUAUGGCGGAAUUGGUAGACGCUGCGGACUUAAAUAUUAAAUCGUAGUGCUGAGAAAGUCCAGAUUGAAAAUCCGUUGAUUGAAUAAAUCGUGAGGGUUCAAGUCCCUCUAUCCCCAG
rnacentral:tRNA from 1 species